UACAGAGGUGGCAAGCGUUGUUCGGAAUUACUGGGCGUAAAGGGCGCGUAGGCGGCCAUCUAAGUCAGACGUGAAAUCCCCGGCUUAACCUGGGAACUGCGUCUGAUACUGGAAGGCUUGAGUAUGGGAGAGGGAUGUAGAAUUCCAGGUGUAGCGGUGAAAUGCGUAGAUAUCUGGAGGAAUACCGGUGGCGAAGGCGGCAUCCUGGACCAUUACUGACGCUGAGGCGCGAAAGCUAGGGGAGCAAACGGG
rnacentral:rRNA from 1 species